GCUUUUCGUAACGUGGAAGAUUGGUCGAGAAAAGCGAUUGCGUGGAUGUAUAGGUACCUUUUCUGCCAUGAACCUGCAUUCAGGACUCAGGGAGUACACGCUUACUAGCCAGCAAGGAAUCUGAAUGAACAAACAGUGCUGAAAGUUCAGGAGUGGCCAUCCUGACAUGAAACAGAUCGGUUCUCCACAUAUCCUGGCUCUGCUCACACCUGAUUGAUGGCGAUCUCCAGGUCUUCUGCCCCUUGAAAGAGAGAGAUCUGAACUGUGCCUUCCCAUGGCUUGAUUCCGUUGGAAUGCUCCUCUUUGUGUCUUGUCUGUGCCCUUAAAGAUAGCCGAUUCCCCCCAAUGACGAGGGAUGAGCUGCCGCGGCUUUUCUGCUCAGUGUCUCUACUUACUAAUUUUGAAGAUGUCUGUGAUUACUUAGACUGGGAGGUAAGGAGCUGUUUCAUACGUUCAUAGAAGAGAGAGCAUCGUUUCAUAGAAGGAAGCACCAUUUAUCUGUCUCCCCUAUUCAGCAGGCAAUGCUCUACAUGCUGAGAUGGAGAAAAAGGCUUGCAGCUCCCAGCAUUCUCCAGCCAGUGGUCCCCACUGGGGAAUUCUGGGAAAGGCAGAAUCUUUUUCUGUCUAAGCAUGGGCAGCACCGUGUCCUAAAGCAGUUUAGCAGCAUCUUGCUGCCUCACCAUCAUCUAUAGUCAGUUUUCUACUGCAAGUGGGUAAAACACAAAGAGAAAAGAAGGUGCUUAAAAGUCUGUGCUUAGUCAAGUACCAAACGCUCUUCUAGGGAAGUCAGACUGUUGACUCCCAACACGCACCGUUGGGGUGCCAAGGUCAAACGCCAAGGUCAAAUUUUGUUUUCCCCAACCACCCUUAAAUACACCCUUAUCGACUCGCUUUGCCAGCUCUAAGGACCAUUUCCCACCUAGACAAGAAACCCGUGUGUUGCCUGUCCUGCCUUCACUUACCGGUGGGAGCCAUAGAAUGGCAUGAACCUCCGUAGCAAAAACAAAACCCCCAAAGUUAAAACAAGCAAAAAAGAUGUCAGGGAGAAAAGAUUUCUAGUCUAGCUUUUUCCUAAUUUCACAGCUACUUUGCAAUGCAUCGGAAUCGUCUCUGUCAUGUAAGAAGUGGCACAAACCGCAGUUUGGACUUACUGUCUCAGAACAAGGCCUUGGAGUGAGCUUUGACUGACUGAAGCUGGCGCAUCCUUUAACAAAAGUCCCGCAGGCCACACAGGAACUGCAGUUAUGCAAUGUGAAUGGCAAAAAGUCAUUUCAAGAUGGCUAGAAUAUGACCUAACGAGAGAAAGUGGGUCUUCCACCGGGUAGAACUGCUCAUUUCCAGCACAUCCCGAAAGGUCAUCAGCCCAGUUAGGAGAUCUUACUUCUGUAGGUAUGCGGUCGGUGAUCCUGUGGGAGCUAAUCCAGCAAUUUGCUGAUGGAUGCAAAACUCCUUCCAAAUUCCGGGUGGCAAUGGCUCCGCCGUGCCAUUUGCACUCUUCUGCAGACUGACAGCAGGUUCGUUCCAACCUGCCAGUGAAAUACCGUCCCUGGCUCAGGGAAUUGGUCUCUUCAGCAAGUGCAGAAAUCGGGAGGCCUCUUGAUCUGUAGAGAUUUCUCGCAUGGAAGAGGGUGAGUGAAUUGGCUGCCAUUAGCUCCCAUGAACCUUUUUGAAUUGCUGCCACUUUCACCUGUUGUGUAGCUAUACUUUGCACGUUUUCUGGCUACUUGCCGAAAGGGUUACUUGGGACCAUUAAGGGCCGGGCCGGGCCAGGCCAUUCAUCCAUCCAUCCAUCCCCCCACAGCAUGGCUACAUUUGACCCACACUGCUUAUCAGCCUAUACAGCCGGGGUUCUUACAGGGCUGGGGCACAUGGGCUGCUUCCCAUCACAAGCAGCAGGAACUCUCUUCCCUUCUCCCUUCUCACCCACAAACUUUGACAGCAUCUUAGCACACCAAGUGAGUACCAAGAAGUUGGUUGCAUUUCCUAGAGUGAAAGAAACCCACAUGGAGGAAAUAUCUGUAUUCCUGGAAGUCACACGUGUUUUGGUGGCAACCUGCCUGAGAUCACUGGCCCAUUGUACCAUAUCCUGGUGGAAAAGCACCUGCUUUGCCUGCAGUUGUCCCAGGUCCCAUUCCGAUGUCUCCAGGUGAAGCUGGGGCUGACCUCGGCUGAAGCCCUGAGGGUCUGCUGUCGGUGCAUGUAGACCAGGCUAGAUGGGCCUGUGGCUGGACUUGGUGGAAGACGGCUUCCGAAGGCAUCUUUGUGGGUAUGCUAACCAUGUCAGACAUCGUUUCUUCCAUGUUACUUUGACUCUGGAAAAGUUGAGGCUGCAGAGCCAUUACCAGAAAUUGCACAGGCCUGCUGAGGUUUUCCCACUGACUGCAUAUGAAAGGACGCGUGUCUUAUGCAGUCCUCUUCCAUCCUUCUGUCCUCGGGUGUAUAGUAUCUCCAAUAUUGUUUCCUCUAGUACCAUCUCUAGAAACUUUUUUCUGGAGCACAGCUGGACCCAUAUUCAAAGUGGUCCUUCCUAGCUCAGCAUCAGAAGUUCUCAGGAAUGUAGGAUGGCUGCUCUCCAUCCCUCACCUUCUCCAUUCCUUGCUGUUCCCUCUCCACACCACACAGUUGGCUUUCUACUCUAAUCCUUUGCCAGGCUUAGUGUUUUCAGGCCCUGCAUUUUCCCGACCUGAGUAUAGCGUGAAGAUAGGCUUCAAGACCUGUACUUCUUGCUUGAGUGCUGAAUGUUACGGGAUAAAAUUCUAAACUCCCGUGGUUUAGGAGAUUUCUGUUCAUCCUGUAUCUGAAGCCAACAAAUGCCUCAGGAGACACAAGACAUUAUAUUAGAAAGAUUAACUUGCACAAUUUUAUGAAAACCUAGGAAAGGAUCAUAUUGACUGUACAAUUCUGUUUCUCCCCAAACACUUCCCUGGUGUUUGUCCUUUAAUAAUCGUAAACAUUUUUCUCAUUGCAAGUCAGCACAGGCAAUUUGAUGGGAAGCGCCAGAUUGUUGACAUGGAUUUAAUUUGUAGAAAAUCUACACUUUAUUGCAACUUAGGAAGAGAGCCAGACCUCUUAAUCCACAAAUGGCUGAAGCAAAGAGCAGCUGACAGCAGUGGGCAAACACUUAAGUGAAUAUUUCUUGUGUUGGGUCCACGGUAGACCUUUUUCCCUUGGUUCUUCAUUGCAUCUUGUAGAUAGUUAGGGCAAAAUAAGAGAGGGCAUUCAGAUGCACAUGAUGAAACGAAACAGCUUUGUCUUCUCCGUUAGGGAACCCUGGUUGCCUGGCUGCUCAUUCAACAGAAAGUCACAGAAUGUCAAGGGAAUAGACGUUAAAUUGCACACCUGGAGAUCUCUGCCCUUCUGCCUGGCAUGUAAAGGGUGUACAUAGGGUAAAAAUCAUUCACAGACGGUGGAAUCCCCUAUCUCACCUCCAGUUACGGCAAGCUUACAAGUGGUUCAGCUGUGGAGUGCUUUUUUCCAAAAGCUGUCCUCACAAAGCAAAAUGCUAUCAGGACUGGCCUGCCCUUUUUAAGCGUCAUCUGGAAAUUAACUGUUCAGUUUCGAUGGGAAAUUGCAUUAUCUGGACCUGGUGUUGUCUUGAAAAGUUGUUUUGAGGCAGUUUACUGUUAGGCGAUGCUAGGAGUAAUUGGAACUUUUUGAUCUAGUCACUUUGCUUAUGUCCAUCCAUCAUGUGUUUGAGAAUGAAAUCCUUCUAGAUAAGAGAACAACAAUCUCUUCUCUUGCUCCUGGGGUGGGUGGGUCAGUAACAUCUUUUCUGUGCCAGCCUUAAUUUGCUAGAUGCAGCUUCUCAGAAUUGUUUGCCAAACCCAAGUCAUUGGUGAACAGACUCCUAAAGCCUCUCCUUUGAAAAUCAGGCAACUAACAGUAGCAUUCCCUGUGCAAGUGCCUUAAUAAGAAUAACCUCAAAACCUUUUCCAUGGAGGAUAGCAAUUCUUCAGAAAGGGCCAGUAGUCUUUCCCAGACCGCGUACAGGGCUGUCCCUCUGUACCCACUCAUUAGACCAUUUUGGGUUUCUCCACAAUGCAUUAGUGUUUACACUGAGACAGUUUUCUAGAAUGUCCUGACCUGUACAAUCCUAUAUUUCAGUUACUCAUAUCAGGGGGCUGUUUCUUGUAGUGGUGAACUUCCUGCUUUGCGGUAUUUAUUUAUUUAUUUAUUUUUCGAUUUAUAUCCUGCCUUUUUCCUACAAAGGGCUCAAGGCAGCUUACAUCUCCUCUGCCAUCUUAUCCCCACAACAACAACCCUGUGAGGUAGGUUGGGCUGAGAGUCUGGGGUCAUUCUGUCCUGCUUCCAGAUAAAAGCUCACCUUCCCUGCCAUCACGAAGGAGAACUGGGAUGUAUCAGGUCAAUACACUGCAAUCUCCAUACAUGUACGUUGACGUUGCGUUUGCUUGUGGUAUGUGAGUGUGCAGGGUACUUGCACAUCGUUUCAAAACAUUUUAAUCUUUUUUAAUGAAAUAAUUCUUGAGGCCUCUAACAACUAUAAUUAAAGCAACAAUAAAAACAGCAUAGUAGCUGCUCCUUCCAGAGAAGCUAAAUGCUAAUCUAAAAACAAUUAAGUGUAGAAAGCGAAAAGUACACACAGGCUGUAUUUGGACAUAGCACUAAACCAUAUAUUUGGUCCUGCAUGAAUCAGUCUCUGCUUCCCCAGCUGUCUGGGAGCAUCUGAUUGCAUUUUAAACCAAAUGCAGUUUGUCAUUUCAUCCAAAGUGGGGCACACUGUGGUUAGUUAAAACUGGUUUCUCUAAACAAGCCAUAAUCACAUAAUGUUUUCCGAUCCUGGCUUGUUCAGAUGAGCUGCAUUUAAAACUCCAGUCCUCAGUUUGGGCAAUUCAGCCAAGAGUAGGCAUAUGUACUGAAUGCUUAUCUUUAUAGCCAAACCCAGACACAUACAGGCAGUCGAGUGCAUCUUCAUUACAACUGAGUCAUUCCCAACCUGGUGCUCUCCGUAUGAUUUGGACUACAGUUCCCUGAAAUCCUGGUGCUGAUGGAAGUUGGAUUCCAAAAUAUCUGGUUGAUCCAGCUAGUGCUCAUGAUGAUGUUUUAGGAUCAUGUCCACAGAGUGUUGUCAACCUUGCGGAUAACAUGAAUUAGGACCCAUUUCAACAGAAGGAGAACACUUGUAGGAUUUUUAUGUAAGAAACAUAAAGAGCUGUACCAUCCAUCUGUGCUACAUUGUUCUUCCAUUCCUCUCCAGCACUCCAAAUGUUAGCUCUUGGACCCUUCCACCUUUCCAGGCAAACAGAGUGACAAUUGUAUCCUUUGGUGGUUGGUUGAUCAGUUGGAGUUUUCUGUAGGCCAUGAAGAUAUGAUUAGGAAAGAGUGAAAAUCCCAUUAAUAACUAGUUGUCCUGAGCUGAACCUAGAAUUAGCUGCUUUAAAAAAAAGCGGGGGGGGGGUCAGAACUCUUCUUCAAAAUGCAGUUGUUCAUUAAGUUUGGAAUUAGCCUGUGUAGCUUGCACUCCUGAUUUUUUUCACACAGUUAACCCUGGGUGAUCUGGUUGUCCUGUACCAUCUUUUGUGUAGCAGUGGCACAGAUGCUGUUGUUCACUCCAGAGUUGAGUUCAAAUCUCAGUCCAAAGUGUUUCCUGGAGAAUUGACUUUAGAAUUCUUAGGUGGAUCAAUCUCAGCUGCAAAUAAUAUACAGGGGAGCCAACGCAGGACAAGAAUGUGAGCAAGGCCAGGUGCAUUCUAUUAUAUUUGCACCGUGUCUGCUUUUUAAAAAAGAAAAAUUGUUCUUUGUCUUGACGGACAAUUCCCAAGACUCCAAGAGCACACCAGCCACCUCCCCACUGAUGCCAGAUGUUUCGAUUGCCUUAUUUAGAUGCAGCCUGCAACCAAUUCCAACACCAUGGGAACCCAUUAUCCAUAAGCAUACGGCCUACUCCAUGGCAGUAUUUCUCCAUGCAGACUUAUCCUCAGAGAUGGUCAGGAGGGAUGGUGGGCGUACAUGGCAUUAGAAUAGAAUUCAUCAAUGAAAAAGGAUCAAAACGCACCGCCACCUACUUACCGGAGGUUGCAAAGGAGCAAGGUCAUUGUUCCCACUUUAUCUCAUAUGAUCUGGUGAAGAAUUUAAACAUACCUAGGAACUUAAAUGCAGUGUUUGACCUUGCACUGAUGUCAGAUGAUGGAGCAAUACUUUAAUCGUAAGGGAUGACUCUUCUUUAAAUGCCACUUAUGUAACCAUAGAAAAUAGGGCCCUUGCUAUCAGAAUGCUGUCAUAAAUUGCUGCGAUUCAGAAAUGUGCUACAAUCGUCCAAUUGAUCCACAAACUGUAGCAGGUUGUUUGCAUAGCCGUAGUAACCGAAUGUGGCUUUGCCACACACGGUCAAUACCAGCGAUACGGGAAACUCUCUUGAACAAGCGAUUUUUCAUGACAGUUUCAUUCACCCAUUGUUGCAAGUUUCAUUUCGUCCAACUGUCACUGUGGAAUUUAAUUCAGUGUGUACUUUGCCCUGGUGCUGUUUUAUUGGAAUAAGCAGGAGGAGCUAACAUGAUUGACUUCUAUGAGCCUCUUCACACAUGUUUUUAGGUGUGCUCCUAAAAAAAAAAAAACACAGAUGCAAGGAAGUUCUUUGGAAAUAUAUAUCAUGCAGGUCAGAUAAUGAGGGCUGGCUGAAUUUGCCCUGCCAAUCAUACCUGGAGGCACAAACUCAAGUCUGCUGCUGUAAGAUGCAAAAUAGCCCCUUUGGCCCUUGGCCAGUGGCGUAAGAAGCCACCAUAGACAUGGAAAAAGACUGAGGUGACAUACGGCCUGAACUUGCAGACAAAGUCUUGGGCCUUUCAGCUCAUCAUUUGGGAAAGCUUUGUGACCCUUGCAAUUGCCUCGUACGAAAUGAGGCUGUCAGCAGAUCCUUGCCUGCUGUCCUUGUAUCGAGCUGCUCUUUCACGUGUCGCUAGAUACGGGUUUGCCAUUUUUUAAAGAAUACACAGGAGUGACCCUCAAGCAAUUCCUUGGGGUGUGAUAGAAGAGACCACUAAGGAUAAAAAUGAAAAAGCCCAAUGCUUGCUCAGUUGGUGUCUUUAUGUACCUUCUGCAAAGGUCUCUUGGGAUACAGAUUUGCUGGAGUUACAGGGUGUGGUGUGAAACAUCCCAUCUGUGCAGACUUACGAAACCACGUCACGGAUGGUACACGGCUGUGCUGGGGAGGCCGCUUGGUUCCUUUCUGCAGGGCAUUGAUUUUCUGACUGUUGUUAUUGACAAAAUGUGAAGUUACAUGUUUGCUGUCCACCAUUUUCUAGUUGUGUAACAUAGGUUUGACUUUCAGGACCAUUGGAACGGGCUCUUUCCAAGCCACGAUUGUUAUCAGUUGGCCAUGUGCAGUCCCAGCAAAACUGGGGAACAGAACGGUCCAUUCAGUCCAUUUGUCCUGCCCUCACCCCCUUUGCAUCCUCACGAUAACUCUGUGAGGUGGGUUCAGCUUGUAGGGCUGGGGACUUGCCCAAGGUCUCCCUGUAAACUUCACAGUGGAUCAGGCCUUGAACUGGGGUCUUAGCCACUACACUCCAACGUUCCAGCUCAGCUUUCCCAGUGUUUUGGACUUCAGCUUCUCUUUGCUCCAGGCAGUGCGGUCAGGAGUCAGGAGUGCCACGAAUUGUAGUCCAAACAUGUUGAAGGGCACCAGGUUGGGCACAGCGGCUCUGACCGCUUCUCCUGGAUCCUUCUCUACUGAUUAUUUCAUUGCUGUCUUGCCUUCUGUGCCCCCUCACAAAGAACAAGGCAACCCAUGUGGUCCUCACAACAACCUUGUUUGAGGCAGCUUGUGCUGAGUGAGGUCCGUGGCUGGCCCAAAGUCAGCCGAUAUGCUUCACACGGCCAAGUGGUGACUAAAACACGCUGCCCCCCACCUUGAUUCCUGGUCCCACAUUCUAACCACCACGACCUAGUAAUUGGGAGCAGUUCGGUGCUAAGGUUUGAGAUGCUGGCGUUUUUCGUCUCAGAGGCGCAACACCAUCCAGGAUUGCCCUUAAGCUGUUGUGAAUACAUUUACAUGUAUUCUUUGAGGAGAGUUAUUCCCUCUGCACAAUUGCUUGCUUUAAAAAUGACAUCCAGAAAGCAGAACUGUGCCCGCUGUCUAAUUACACACCGAGGUACUCUCCUUCAUAGGCAAAAUAAGGCCAAUUUCUUCUUGCCUGCCACCUGAGCAGGCCCGACCCUGGAAAUCUAGCUAAUUAUUCCCAAUGGUAAUACCUUGCUAUGCCGUCUUCAGUGUCUUGUUUUCUGACGCAUUUUUUUCUGAUGAAUCUCAACAGGAUGGGACCAUAUUCAGACCAUAGAUUCCUUAUUAAGGAAAGGAGGCUACAAGGCUCCAAUUACAAAUGAUUUCAGGAAAACAAUAAAACUGACCAGGUACCGUAGUGAGAAGAUGACGAUGAGCUACGCGGAAUACGUCGCCCACCGUC